rnacentral:rRNA from 1 species
CCUACGGGAGGCAGCAGUGGGGGAUAUUGCACAAUGGGGGAAACCCUGAUGCAGCGACGCCGCGUGGGCGAAGAAGUAUUUCGGUAUGUAAAGCUCUGUCAGCAGGGAAGAAAAUGACGGUACCUGACCAAGAAGCCCCGUCUAACUACGUGCCAGCAGCCGCGGUAAUACGUAGGGGGCAAGCGUUAUCCGGAUUUACUGGGUGUAAAGGGAGCGUAGACGGCAGGGCAAGUCUGGAGGGAAAGGCGGGGGCUCAACCCCCGGACUGCUCUGGAAACUGCCAGGCUGGAGUGCAGGAGAGGUAAGUGGAAUUCCUAGUGUAGCGGUGAAAUGCGUAGAUAGUAGGAGGAACACCAGUGGCGAAGGCGGCUUACUGGACUGUAACUGACGUUGAGGCUCGAAAGCGUGGGGAGCAAACAGGAUUAGAUACCCGGGUAGUC